UUGUGUAACUGGUUUGGUAACAGCAGAUCGACUGUACUACUAAAAGACAUCAUUCAAGCAGCAAGACAUUCAUCUAUCUGACAACAAAAACAUCAAUUUUCUGAGGAGAAAGAAGAACAGACUCUCGCGCCAUGGUUUGACUUCUGAUCAAAGCCAGCAUCUGGACGGUGAGGAAGAUUCGGGCCCACAUUGCUGAGGGAGAGCAAGAGGAGAAGCCCAUCUUCACACCAUGUGGUGUUAUUGGCUUUAAGAAGGAGCAGUUGACAUCAGGUUCUGAUCCACCGGUGGCCGUAAUGACCCCUGAACCUGAUGAUGGUAUCGCUAACGGCGGCCCGUCAUCAGAGACAGCCGUGCAGAAGUGCGGAUCCUGAGGUUAAAGGUCACACUGGAUAACUGGUUGGGACCAAUAAAUUAUUAUUAAGCAUGUCUUGAAAAGGAUGCAUUCACAGAACUGUAUGUCGACAGACGCAGUCUCCUUGUUCGAAAAACUUUUGUACGUUAAUUCUACUUCCCUGAUCUGGACUGUCUAUAAACAACAUUCUCAUACAUUAUUCUGAUACGUCUUCAUUUCUUCUUCAGAAGUUUGGAUUAUGUAUUAUAUUACUAGAUAUAACUGCAUUGUUGGAGCUAGAAACAAGAAUUUUGCUGCACCUGCAAAUCUGUACGCGACCAAUAAACUUUGAUAACUUUUUUGUAUAGCCAAACAUGCUCUUACUUAACUUUGCUAUCCUUAAUCAAAGCAUUCCCAUAGAAAAUGUCACUACGACCAUAAUGAUGACUAGUUUUGAGACCAAAUUAUGACAUAAGUCAUUCCAUUUAAUUUACGUUUUGUAGGUUUCUGAACCCAAGUAUGCUAAUACGAUAUUGCAAAUAAAAAGUUGAUUAUUUACUGAUCUAUAGAAGAUAUUCUUUAACAGCCCUCCAACUGGAAAAAUGUUUGUUUUCAUGCCCUUGCUGUCCCAGCCUCUGUCCAGUGUGCCCAUACUCAGUCGACCAAAUACUAAGCUGAGAUACUUGCUGUAAUUCCAACUUUCAGUCACUAAGUCAGUGUGAAGAUUGUGAAGUUAUGACAUUUUCAUAUACACGGAUCUCAGGUUAAUAUUGGGUCCAGUGAGCUCUGUUUAACCUCUGACACCAGAUGACCCUUUAUGGCUGCAGCGUGUGACGACCUGCUCACCAACCCCUCCACCCAGGGACUGAGCUGUUCUGAUGCCCCUGCUGCAGCUUCCCUAAUAAAAACUUUAACUAUCUGGUA